rnacentral:rRNA from 1 species
UAGCGAAGGGGGCUAGCGUUGUUCGGAAUCACUGGGCGUAAAGCGCACGUAGGCGGAUUGUUAAGUCGGGGGUGAAAUCCUGAGGCUCAACCUCAGAACUGCCUUCGAUACUGGCGAUCUUGAGUCCGGAAGAGGUUGGUGGAACAGCUAGUGUAGAGGUGAAAUUCGUAGAUAUUAGCUAGAACACCAGUGGCGAAGGCGGCCAACUGGUCCGGAACUGACGCUGAGGUGGCGAAAGCGUGGGGAGCAAACAGG